GAUGAACGCUGGCGGCGUGCUUAACACAUGCAAGUCGAACGGAAAGGCCCGUCUUUUGUGUGGUUCUCGAGUGGCGAACGGGUGAGUAACACGUGAGUAACCUGCCCUUGACUUUGGGAUAACUUUAGGAAACUGGGUCUAAUACCGGAUAGGAUCUCUUGCUGCAUGUUGUGGUUUAGAAAGUUUCGGCGGUUGGGGAUGGACUCGCUGCUUAUCCGCUUGUUGGUGGGGUAGUGGCUUACCAAGGCUUUGACGGGUAGGCGGCCUGAGAGGGUGAGCGGACACAUUGGGACUGAGAUAGGGACCAGACUGAUACGGGAGGCAGGAGGGGGGAGGAUUGCGCAAUGGGCGGGAGGCUGAUGCAGCAACGCACGGUGCGGGAUGACGGACUUCGGGUGGUAAACAGAUUUCGCCUGUGACGAACCGAGAGUGACGGUAAUGGGUAAAGAAGCACCGGCUAACUACGUG
rnacentral:rRNA from 1 species